AGGACCUAGUGUCUGGGACACAUUUGCCCAUGAAUAUCCAGAGAGGAUAAAGGAUCAUAGCAAUGGAGAUAUUGCAGUUGAUUUCUACAAUCGCUUCAAAGUAGAUAUACAAAACGUGAAAAAUAUGGGAUUCAAUGCUUUUAGAUUCUCCAUUUCAUGGCCCAGAGUUAUACCUAGUGGAAGGAGACGUGAAGGAGUGAAUAAGGAAGGGAUUGAAUUUUACAAUAAUGUUAUCAAUGAAAUUAUAAGCAAUGGUGAUGAUUAUCUCCUUUCUUUUUAAAGGAUUCAAAUGGCAAAUAGAAAAUUUAUGCCUUUAGGAUUUAGAAAACAUGUUCAAAAUGGCAUAUUGAAGGGAUGUGCUCUUUUCUAUUCCCAUUUCAAAAACAUAAUAAAACACCAAAUUUUUAUUGGAAAAUUUGAACAAAAUACAAUUAUUUAACUAGCAUAAAUUGAUCUUCUAGUUC
rnacentral:misc_RNA from 1 species